UAAUAACUUCUCGAAUCAGCAUGGCCUUGUGCCGGCGAUGCAUCAUUCAAAUAUCUGCCCUAUUCAACUUUCGACUGGUACGGACUAACGAGGCCUACCAUGGUUUCAACGGGUAACGGGGCAAUAAGGGUUCGCAUUCCGGAGCAGGGAGCCUGAGCAAACGGCUACACAUCCAAGGAAGGCAGCAGGCGCGCAAAUUACCCAAUCCCGACACGGGGAGGUAGUGACAAUAAAUAACAGUAUAGGGCUCUUUUGGGUCUUAUAAUUGGAAUGAGUACAAUUUAAAUCCCUUAACGAGGAACAAUUGGAGGGCAAGUCUGGUGCCAGCAGCCGCGGUAAUUCCAGCUCCAAUAGCGUAUAUUAAACGUUGUUGCAGUUAAAAAGCUCGUAGUUGAACUUCAGGCCUUGGCUGGUGGUCCGCUCACGGCGUGUACUGUCGGCUGGGGCCUUCCCUCUUGGUGAACCCUCAUGCCCUUUAUUGGGUAGUGGGGGGGAACCAGGACUUUUACUUUGAAAAAAUAGAGUGUCAAAGCAGGCCUAUGCCCGAAUACUUAAUGGCAUAUAAAAUAGGACGUGCGGAACUAUUAUGAAGGUAACUAGGAUCGCGU
rnacentral:rRNA from 1 species